UACAAAUCCCUAAAUCCAUUACAGAUGCAAACCAGAGCCUCUCAGUGAGACACUCUGUCUUUUGGACACCAAGUUGUCAUCAGAAAUCUCACCAUCACUUCUUCACCUGCUCAUGUGGUGCCCAGCUGUGCCUUGUUGGCCCUGCACUUGCCUGUUGUAUGAGAUUUGCUGCUCAGAGGUUGGACUUCAAAUGAGGCGAGGAGCUGGAGAAGAGACAUCCUGUGUGGAAGAGGCUGGACUGUCCUCAUGGACUUACCUCCCAAGGUUGCAGGCUGAUGUGAUAAACUCUGGCUCUAAUGGAAAACCAGUUAGGAAGCAGAAAGAGGAGAGAUUGCAGAGCUGGGGGCAGCAAUACCAGCUUGUGACCCAACACUGACCUGC